ensembl:lncRNA
CCCCCCCCCCCCCCCUCAGCUUCCCGAGAAAAAAAAUGGAGCAGCGGCAACGAUCUAAGAAGGAGAACUUAUUUUACUAACUACGAUGUUGGAAUGCAAGAUGACACAAUAUAAUACAAUCUAAUUGGAAGUACCUAAAGGAAACCUACAAGAAGGCUGAGAGGAACUCUUCAUUAGGCAGCCUAGUGAUAGGACAAAGGCUAAUAUCUUUAAACUAGAAAGAAAGUAACUUCGUAUUAGAUAUUAGGAAGAAGUAGGUAUGGUGAUGCCCUGGAAGAUGUUGCCAG